UACAGGGGGGGCAAGCGUUGUUCGGAAUUACUGGGCGUAAAGGGCGCGUAGGCGGCCUGCUAAGUCGAACGUGAAAUCCCCGAGCUCAACUCGGGAACUGCGUCCGAUACUGGCAGGCUUGAAUCCGGGAGAGGGAUGCGGAAUUCCAGGUGUAGCGGUGAAAUGCGUAGAUAUCGGGAGGAACACCUGUGGCGAAAGCGGCGCACUGGACCAUAACUGACGCUGAGGCGCGAAAGCGUGGGGAGCGAACAGG
rnacentral:rRNA from 1 species